rnacentral:rRNA from 1 species
CAUUAAUGAAAUAACAAGUCGGCGGAUUGUGCUGGCGCUUCUGCGCAUGUGCACGUCCGUUGCAAAUCCACACACCUGUGCACUUUAGACUCGGAGAGCAUGGCCUUAGGGUCGUGCCUCGGAGUAUUUUACACACGCUGCAUGUAAAAGGAUGAAGUUAGUGCCUAUGCACGAAAAACAUACAACUUUCAACAACGGAUCUCUUGGCUCUCGCAUCGAUGAAGAACGCAGCGAAAUGCGAUAAGUAAUGUGAAUUGCAGAAUUCAGUGAAUCAUCGAAUCUUUGAACGCACCUUGCACCCUUUGGUAUUCCGAAGGGUACACCCGUUUGAGUGUCAUUGUACUCUCACGCCCAAAGGUUUUCGAACCGGAGGGACCGUGGACUUGGACGCCUUGUCGCUUCAUCGCGACACGUCUCAAAUGCAUUAGUAUGACCUGCUUGCAAAAGUGUCAUCUGGUGUGAUAAGCAUCUUCACCAGAGUUAUUGGGACCCUCUCAGAGGAACCCGCACGGAGCUCACCUUUGGUCGGCUGCCAAUCGUCCGCUCUGGACAAACUUACUUUUGACAAUUUGACCUCAAAUCGGGUGGGACUACCCGCUGAACUUAA